AAAGGAAUAGACGGGGGCCCGCACAAGCAGCGGAGCAUGUGGUUUAAUUCGAAGCAACGCGAAGAACCUUACCUAGACUUGACAUCCCCUGAAUUACCUGUAAUGAGGGAAGCCCUUCGGGGCAGGGAGACAGGUGGUGCAUGGUUGUCGUCAGCUCGUGUCGUGAGAUGUUGGGUUAAGUCCCGCAACGAGCGCAACCCUUAUCAUUAGUUGCUACCAUUAAGUUGAGCACUCUAGUGAGACUGCCCGGGUUAACCGGGAGGAAGGUGGGGAUGACGUCAAAUCAUCAUGCCCCUUAUGUCUAGGGCUACACACGUGCUACAAUGGUUGGUACAAUAAGAUGCAAUACCGCGAGGUGGAGCUAAACUUAUAAAACCAAUCCCAGUUCGGAUUGUAGGCUGAAACUCGCCUACAUGAAGCCGGAGUUGCUAGUAAUCGCGAAUCAGCAUGUCGCGGUGAAUACGUUCCCGGGCCUUGUACACACCGCCCGU
rnacentral:rRNA from 1 species